UGCCUCAGGCGCCCAAGUAGCUGGGACUACAGGCGCCCGUCACCACGCCCGGCUAAUUUUUUGUAUUUUUAGUAGAGACGGGGUUUCACGGUGUUAGCCAGGAUGGUCUGGAUCUCCUGACCUCGUGAUCCGCCUCGGCCUCCCAAACUGCUGGGAUUACAGGCGUGAGCCACCACCCCCGGCCGCAGAAAUAUUUUAAUGCCAUUUUAGAAGGUGACUCAGAAGGUUGCUGGUUUUGAGAAGGCUCUACAGCAGGUGCAGGCUGUGGUCCAAGAGCAGGAAGGCAGCAGAAAGGAGAAGUGGAAGGCCAAAAUGAGUGGAGAGAACAAACUAACAUAAGAAAGCUUAAAGCAGGAGAAAGACUGUUUUGCUGUGCCAAGAUACCACCUGGGUUUCCUCUUUGCAGAGAAAAGGAUGAGAGAACAUCCAACUGUUUUGAGAAGGAUGAAGAAUUACUGAGAAGAGUGUCCAUAAAUAUAAAAAGAUAAGGACAAAAAAGAGCUCAGCAGUCUAUGACCACAAAUGGUGAGAGAACAAAAGAUGGCUUUCAAUCAGAUACUCCCUCCUCGCUGAUAUACGUUAUUUACAUAGCUCUGAUGUAUAGGCUAUCCUUGGGAAGACAAAAUGGUGGGUAAAAAAUCCAAAAUUAUUAAACAGAAAAUACCUUACAAAGUUAACAUUUAAUAAUCUCUAUAGAAUUGAUUACUAACUUGUAUUUUAUACUAUCAGGGAGAAAUAAGUCUUGAAAAUACCACAGUCUGUAGAUAAAUAAAGACAUUUGCGAAUAUUUCACUCCCAAGUUUUUGUUUCUUUUGUCAGAAAAUAUUCUGAAUAAGACUAGAUUUUUAAAUACGUUGUAAAAAAAAUGUAUUCCGUAAAAGUUGAAAACAGUGAUACAUUCAGCUCAGAAAUACAUGUUGUUGUUUAUUGAUAAUUCAGGG
rnacentral:lncRNA from 1 species